AGAGUUUGAUCCUGGCUCAGAAUCAACGCUGGCGGCGUGCCUAACACAUGCAAGUCGAACGAGAAAGUGGAGCAAUCCAUGAGUACAGUGGCGACCGGGUGAGUAACACGUGAUCAACCUGCCCUCGAGUGGGGAACAACCUAGGGAAACCUGGGCUAAUACCGCAUAACAUCCUCGGAUCGGAAGAUCUAAGGAUCAAA
rnacentral:rRNA from 1 species